rnacentral:rRNA from 1 species
AGAGUUUGAUCCUGGCUCAGGAUGAACGCUGGCGGCGUGCUUAACACAUGCAAGUCGAACGAAGCAGCUUCUGCUUGCAAGAAGUUGACUUAGUGGCGGACGGGUGAGUAACGCGUGGGUAACCUGCCUCAUACAGGGGGAUAACAGUUGGAAACGACUGCUAAGACCGCAUAACCCGCUAGUGUCGCAUGACACGGGCGGAAAAUAUUUAUAGGUAUGAGAUGGGCCCGCGUCUGAUUAGCUAGUUGGUAAGGUAACGGCUUACCAAGGCGACGAUCAGUAGCCGACUUGAGAGAGUGAUCGGCCACAUUGGGACUGAGACACGGCCCAAACUCCUACGGGAGGCAGCAGUGGGGAAUAUUGGACAAUGGGGGAAACCCUGACGCAGCAAACCGCCGCGUGAGUGAGGAAGGCCUUCGGGUUGUAAAGCUCUGUCUUUUUGGACGAAACCUAAUUGGUAAAUAGCCAAUCAGAUGACGGUACAAGAAAAGGAAGCCCCGGCUAACUACGUGCCAGCCGCGGC